UUAUCAGUUGUUUGGGCUAAUUUUAUUUCAUUUUUUCACUAUUUGCACCCUUCUUUCUUUGCAUCGUAAAUACAAAAUAUUGACAACUAUUUAUGUAAAAUACUGCUCUUUUUGAGUCAGGAAAUCUGCUCCCUAUGAGGAAAGCCAUAAAGUUGCUGUCAGUGCUGUCGCUCCAGUUGCAACUGUCCAGCGGUUGUAAGACACUGCAUCUGGCUCUACUUAUCUUUUUAGUAGAUUACACUAAAGUGAAUCCUUAAGGCUAAACCCUCUAAUUUACUGAAACACAUGCACAUAAAAUUACAGCUGUCUCGCAAAAGCUUUCAUUGAAUUGAACAGAGCUGGGAUUCAUUUAAGUGGUUAUAAAACUUAGAUAAGCAAACUUCUUUCAAAACCAGCAGGAAAAAAAAAAAACGCAACAGCAAAAUACCAAAACCCAAACACCCCCAGCCUGCCAAACAGAGCUAAUUACUGGUUUAUUGAUUGGCACCUUAUUCUUCACCUCUGUGUCCGCUGACACCAUUUCUCCUGCGUUCCUUGGCUCCAUGUGCACGUUGGUCCCACACAGAGGGAAGAAUUUGGCAGGAAAAUAGGGCGUUUGUUGAGGUAAAAACACAGUUUUGCUCUCAAAAGCAAAUACGUGUAUUGUGUAAUGUUCAUCUCUCUGAAAGUCAACUGCCUAAAAUUUGGACAUCUGAAGGCAAGGCAGUCCCAGAUUGUCUGCUAAGGACAAAGAGAACCUAGAGAAAAAGAAAGAUGAUUAUUUUCAGGCAUCUUAAAUCAUCUAAAGCUGUAGGACGUACCGUACCCUUCUGUGCACCUCUGGGGACCAAUGUAAAACACUGCGGAGAUGGGGAGUGAGUUUCCUGUAGAGACUCAGACAGAUGUGCCCAGCUGUCCUCCCAGGGCUGUUUCAUAGUGCCGGCCUCACCCUGUUGCGUUGCCCAGCUCAGGGCAUUCAUUGCACCUCUGAAGUUGGUUACAUGACAGUAAUUUCAUCACUGUAAGACAGCUUGGGGUGUUUCAAAACAGCCCUUAGGGCUUUGCUCUGAACUUUGUUGUCUGCAUCAGAAGUGUUUGAGAAAGCCACUGAAAUCGCAGAGAGAAAAUGCAUCUAUUGGUUUUCUACAGAGAUGGUAACGUGUUGGCAGAAGGUGGUGCUGUUACCUGAUGUUGCCGCAGAUAACUGCCAUGUCAUGGAACAAAACCCAUGACUUGAAAAAAGGUAUUUUCUUCCCACAGCCAUAGGUGUGCUAUAUAAAUAGAUACAGAUGAGGUUUCCCAGUCCCUGAGAUAUAAUGAAGUGUUCUUCGUUAGAAGUCAGGCACCCGGGCCAACAUUUCUUCCAACAGAAAGCAGGAUAUUGGGUGAAUAGUGCUCGCAGAGAAAUAAUUGCCACUGCAUGAUGGCUUUCCAAUGGGGUGGCCGAUUUCACCCAGAAGCACAGGGUCCCAUGGGCUGGGUGUCAUAACAGCAGAAAGCAAAAGAUGUGUGAUAUAAGGGACGGCUGGAAGUUCCAGAAUGCCUUUUGAGAGCCGCAUGCCUUCACACCCAGAGGUCAGGAGAGAGAACCCAGAGGGAGGUUUGGUUUGGAAAAAGCUCUUCUGAUUUCUAUCUUCUGCGAGCUUAACGCGGUCAGGUGGCACGUUGUGCUGGGUUGGGUGUAUGGAGCAAUUCACAUGUGUGGCACACAUCACUUCGGGGCUCUUCAGAAACAUCUCACAUCCUAUUGACAAGGGGACAAUCUGUAGCUAAUGAUACACUGAUAACGAGGCUCAUUCUGAGCCUGUAGAAUACAUACAGAUUGUAUUUGCAGGCUUUGUGUUAUCAUCAUAAAAGCCAGAAACUUCUCUUGUGUUUAAUGAAAGAUGAAUGAUUUUUGCCUAUUUCUGUGCCUGUAGAAAGCCCAGUGGAGGUUGUGGUUAUGAUUUAUGGCAUUGGAGCAGAACGUGUGUGCAAAUAGAAAUCAUUGUGUUGUUUCCUAUAAUUCAGUGUUGAUUCCUAUAACUCAUGUUAACUAAGGGAUUAGAAGUUGUGUCAAUUCAAAGCUUUAUCUAUUUCUGGGUUAGAACUUGGGCUGCUGGCAACCCUGUGCUGUUACCGUACUUGGACCCAACUGAAAGUUCCUGAUUCAGAAAAUGUUUGAACUGGUGAAAGCUCCUGAAUUGUCUGACUGGUGUGUAUCAGCUGAGGUAUCAACCUGUGUUCCAGAGUGCUGUGAUGAGUUUUUAUAUUCAAGAGGUCUGGAGUAUCCAGAUAUACAUCAGUGAGGGGGGGGGGGGGGGGAAUAGUCCAGGGCAUGCAAUAGAUGCAUCAGGAUUUGUGCUCUCUGCUGAAUUGCCUCAGCAUGGAGAGCAGCAGUGCAUCUGGAAGGGCUGGAAAUACGUGUGUAUAUGGUACAGAGGGGGUUGUGAUACUGCGGCGUUCACAGCUGGGCAGCAUGGGCUCUGAAUUUCAGAGAUUAAUUUGCACAGUUGCAUUUUGGGCCAUAUUUUCAAACUUGAGAAAGCUCAGCUUGGAUUCUGUUGUUACAACAGCUUUGUGGAGGGACACAUAGCCCACGAGUACCUGAAUUUAGGUCUGGGGGGUGCCCAGCUCUCAGGAUCAGGCUUUUAGAGACCAGGCACCACGCCAUCCCAUCAGAGGAAAGAGACAGAACUGGUCAGAUGGCGUUUAAGAUACAAUUCAGUCUGAGAGCUAAAGGCUCUUGCAGGAUUUUCAGACCUUGAACAUAAGGCUUCUUUUUUUUUUCCAAUUGGAUUUCACGGUUGAAACGUGGUGUAAGAAUUGCGAGGCUAGGGAGCAAAUAGCUUUUUAUGGAGAUUUGAAUUACAUUUUACACUUGAAAAAUCAGUCUAAGCAGUGAGUGGAAGGGCCUGGCGCCCUGUCUGCGCCCCAGUCCUGCUGCUGGCAGCCUGCACAUGGAGCGCUGGGUGGGGAAGGGAAAGGGAGCGCCGUGGGGGGAUGGCUGCUUCAGCAUCUGAAGCCCUCCAUAGCAGCCACUGGCAGUUUGAGGGGACUGAGUGAUGGAUGGAGUGGUUGGCAGGCCGUGCCCAUGGCAGGUGUUGGAACUGGGUGCUCUUUGAGAUGCCCUCCACCAACCCAGGCUGUUCUGUGAGGUUAGCUUUCAUUUGCCCUCCAACAAGUGAUAGAGGGAGGAGGGGUGGUUGUUGCUUUCUGGAUGGCUGCCAUCAAUGCGGUAAGGUGUCAUUUGCUUGAGCUGAAGUCUCCUCUGCUGACAAAUACCACUGCCACUCCAGUAGAAUAUUUAAGGCCAUUGAUCCUUAGUAUUCAUCUGAUCAUGGUGACAUGGACCGUGUCCUCCUGUCUGUGAAAAUCCAGCAAUUCUCUGCAGGACUGCAGGUAGUCCUCAAAGCAUCUGCAGAGCUUCCCAUGGCGUGUGCUGAGAGGUGUAUCUUUGUUUGAUUCUGUGAUUAACAUCGACUGCACAGGUGAGCAAAAUCAGCUGCCAGACAGUUUGUGAAGAGUUCACAAGGUGAACUUCUGGUUAUCCUCUGAGUGUUGGUGGGGAACAGAAAGUGAGUCCGGUGGUGGUGUGAUCUGACCCUGUAACCGCUGCUACUCGGGUGGGUUCAGCUGGUGCCAUGGGAAGCGGUUAUUUGUCAGCCGCAGUCAUCUUUUGUUCACCUUUUUUUUUUUUUUUUUUUUGGUGUGAAUUGCUGAAAAGCAAACUUUUCCCACAACUAAUUGUAUUUGCUAAUUACCUGUGAAAAAGCAAUUAUCUCCCGGUGAUGCAAUUCUUUGGGAAGGCUUUUUUUUUUUUAAUUGGUAAAGAGGAGUCCCUUCUAUACAGGUUGUUUUCAGAAAGAAAGCUUUUCAAAUAUUGUAGCUGAUGUAUCACGUUGGACACAUCGGAUUGGGUCGCAUCAGCAGUGUUGCGUUACGUUACAUCACCGAGGUAAUGUGCUGUGACAGAUCUGCAAUGCAAUGUGUCAGCUGCAAAAUAGGGAAAGAUGUGAUUUCCCGAACAAAAUGCUCCUUAAGCUUUAUGGCAUUUUCCCCUCCUCCAAGUAAAGAAAUGGCUGUUUAGGUGUUGGGGUAUUUCUUAAAAGACUCAAUUAUGUUCAGAAGAAUUUGAAGCCGUUUUGUUGUUGCUAUUUCCUCUCUCAGUGGAUAAUUAUCUAAUCUGGAAAGAAAGAUAUCUUUGCUUCUUAUAUUUCCAUGACCACUUUACAAUUUAUCUGUGUCCCCGAACAUUCAGCAAACUGGAAGGCAGUUUCUAGGGGGAGGAAUUGAGCUGACACGGUGAGGCAUACAGGCAGGAGACCUGGCUGCCGUCCUGCUGGGAUGCCAGAGCAGGGGAGGGGGAAUGGAUGCACUUCAGCUGUAGCUUUGGAACUAGAGAGGACAGAGCAGCAGAAACAAAGGAAGUACACUUAAAACUGUUCGGCUCUUUAGGAAGGUGGGAGCAAUGGAAUCCAUGUGAAAACAAAAAUCCAAAUAUUUUGGGCACGACUUCGCCCUCUACAUUGUCAGAUACAAAGGGUAGUGUUGCUUCCUUUACUUUCUGUUUUAUUUAAAUCAUCCUUGGUGCUGAGCUACUCAGAGUUGUUCGAUAUUAACGUCCCCUCAGUCAUGCAUUGCGCUGCAGUCAAACCGAACCAUUAUACGGACAGUUUGUGAACAGGGAAGUGCUGUGCGCUGAUGGUGAAGAUACCGUCACCGAGCUGAGGAGGUUAACAGCCCCAAAUCGCUUUGAUAUUUGUACAUACUCAGAAGGGAUUGAGAUGUUUGCUCUCAUUUUAGUGAGCUCUUGUGAUUCAGUACAUUUGGCACUUCAGGGUUCAGAAUAGCCACUUGUUUCCUACAAAGCAAUGCCCUCAACUUCGUUACUAUUUGGUUGCUCGUUAUGGUCCCAUUUAGAUCUUUCUAUUGCUGUGCAAAUAUGCCUUCGUUUCACAGUAACUUGCCUAAUGCUGCUUUGUUUGGCAUUCUUUGUUGCAAGGAUCAGGGUUCUGGUGCACUCAGAAAGAAACCAGCUAAGUAAAUCUGUAAUAGCAUCGCUGUUUAAACAGCGCCUUGGAUCACUGCAAGUAAAAUUAGAAACGUUGGUUAUGUACCUAUGGAUGCCUUUCAUUUUCAGUUCAAUAGUUUUCUUACAAAGGGCAGCAGUUGCGUGGGAAACAUUUACUUACCGUUUUUUGCUUGCUUUGAUUUAGCACUUAAGGACAAUACCGAGAUUUUACAGCCUGUCCUGAGCGAGGUGAAGUGCAUAAUUGCUGUGCCCUGGGAACAGCCUGGGAAAUGAAUGAUGGGUGGGCAAUUGCUAAUUUUUCCCUGCCAACCUCCACUUCUGCUCGCUCUAAGCAGGUGUUAAGAACGCUAAGAACAAAGGUAUUAAAAAGGUAUUGAGGCGCCUCAAAUUCAAACAUUCUUACAUUUCUUUCAGCAAUAAGCAAAAUAGGCCUCCCAUGUUCCUUGAAAAUGAGAGCUGUAUGUCAGUUCACCUUCAGACCUCUGCAAAAAGUGUUAUGUGCCCUAUUGUACCCACCAGUUACUCCAGCCAUGCUGUUAACCCAGACCCCAUUUCUUCAGUCCACCCCAGGCUCCAGACCCUCCGUGUCUUGGCAGUACGGGGCCAUUCCCACCCCGCACUGAUGUCUGGUUGGAGGAUACCUUGUCAGAGCCAGGCUCCACAGAUGCCUUUGUAGUCUGAUGUGAAAUGCAUCCCAUGCUCUCUACCAGCUGCAUGGGAAGCCCCCCGAGACGAGGCCAGAAGUGGAUGUUUCCAGUCUGGCAGCCAGCAUGCACAUGUAAACCAUGCUUUAAAUGAAGGGGCAGUCUUGGUGCUUCUGCCACUUGUUUCCAUCAAAACACUGAUGGAAACAAAUAUUAUUGAGCUCCCAUAUUAUGUACAUUGUGCUGUUCUUUUAUUGAUCUGAGCAAUCUUUAAGCCAACUAUUAACCUUGCUCUCUAUAUACAGGCUGGUAUUAGCUGUCACUAACCCUUAUUCUGCAUUCUGAACCCCUACUCUAAGCCUUUUCUUUAAACCUGUUAUUAAGUCUGCCUUUCAUGUCUAAACCUGGUGCAGUAGUGCAAUUAAUUGCUUUACUUAACAUGCAAGGUUAUAAGUGAUCUCUGUGAUUCCACUGACGUUAAAGAAAUAAAUGGAGCUAAACUGAUUCUCAUUGCAAGGUGAUCUUUACACAGUCUUUGGUUGGUGGAACCAGCAGCAGAUGUGUAUUGCAGAAUUAAUGUUAAGAGUUGCAACUGCCACUGCUACACAACAGCAGGAUACUACAGAAGGAUCUGCACAAGUCUUGUGCUUCGUUUUAUACUUUGAAAGAACUCCCUCAGUCCCACAGCCAGCAGCUCCUUUUGCGCUCUUCUUUUCCUUCUGGUUAUAAACACAGUGUCUGCUUUUCCUGUUGUGUACUGGAACGUAGAAAAGUUUCCAGCGACUGCUCACAAUGAGCAAGAGGUACUUUUCCUACUGCAGUGGGAAGAGUACCACAGUUGUUUAGUUCUGGGGUCUCAGCCUUUUCUGCUGAUGAAUUCAUAGAGGAACAUGUGUUCGGAUGUUUUGUUGGCUCAAAUCAGGCUUGUCUCACGCUGAGACUGAGAGAAGUCAUGCGAUGGCUUGGGAGUAGAAGUAGGGAACAUGGUGAUACUUGUUGGUAAGUGCCUGAUGCGGUAGCAUCCCUGCCCAGAAAGGCAUUGCUCUGUGAAAGCAAAGCAGGUAAAGAAGGAAGGCAGGUAGUUCUGUGGAAGGCAGGUAGUUCUGUUCUUCGCUCAGCGAGCGGUAAAAUUGCACACGAUUUUUAGAAAAGACCCGCAGUGACCCAGGAAAGCAGCUGACUAACAAACAAGUGAGGUUUCUGCAGGAGCUUUAGGGGUGAAGGUAAGGUUCGCUUCUGGCUAGAUAUAUAGAUGUGAUCAAUAGGUAUGCCAGAACAGAGCAGAGAGGUUCAAAAAGCUUGGGGAUGAGGCUGAAUUCCAGGGUUUGGGGGCACAUGCCACAUCCAAGUGAAGCUUGUAAUAGCAAUGCCAAGAGCAGGAUGGAAAUGCACUCCAUCUACUACUUCAGGAAGAUGGUGUUCUUUUGCAGUUCUGCAAUAGGCACACAGGAAAGCAGCAGAAGACUCCAGCAGACAGAAUAGCUGCUGAUGAAGCUGCAAGAAACCACCUUUAGAGAAGCAAGACUGAGAUGUGCAAAGAAACGUCCCUAGGUGGGGAAAAGAGGAUGAAGAGAUUAGAGAAAAUGGAAAGUGUCCACCAGGGUUGGAAAUACUAACGUGAAGAACAGAGCACAGCAGUGCUCUCUCCUCGGAGAGGUCGCUGUAGAUUUGCAUUGCUAAUUUGCUUGCUUGAAAGUUCUCCCUGGCCUCUAGGGAGGAGAGGCAGAUGUAUUCUCGCAGGGCAAGGCAAUAAGCGUUUGUGUAAUUUUACCUCUGCGUCCUGAGCUGCGGAGGUACUGGGGGUGAAGCCGUAGGGCUCCUAAACAGAAAACACCCAACUUAACUGCAAAGAGAGCUCGUUUCCAACCAUUGUAGCUUCGUUAAGUGGCACAUCAGUGGGAGGGCAAAAUAACAGUUGCUUUAGGCCCAGAGAAGCUUUUGCGUUGCUGCUACCCCAAUUAUUCCUUUUUUACACGUGCUCAGCAAUCUCUUGCUACUGUAAUUACAGCGCCAAACACUGCAGCUAUUAGAUACAGUCACUAGGCUUUUAACAAGCCAUCAUUACUUGCACUCAGAAUCUUACAAUUUAAAAACAAUGUCUUUGAGAACGGUGUAACCUAUUUCUCCUUUACAAUAACUGCACACAUUUGUGCAUGGACGUGCUGCUGGUUGCAGCCGUGAGCUUUGCUAAGGACCAGCAAAGAAGCCAGGCAUAGAGCUGUAGAAUUAUGAUCCUGACUCAUAUAUUCUGGUGAAGUUGUUAAUAACAUCUCAACAUUGAGAAGAUAAUUGCCAAAUAAGAGAGCAGUAAAUAUCUGCAGCCCUUGCGGUCUUAUGUUGAUGUCAGAAUAGUGAUGUAUCGUCUGUUUGGAAACCCAGAGAAGUGAGGGAGGCAGGUGGACAGGAUCUGACUUUUCCCAGCCCCCCUCUGGCCAUUUCUUUCCUGUGCUCUUUGCUCUCGAAGUACCGCUGAAUACUAAAAAGAGGCGGUGUUGUGCACAGCCGGGAGAGCAGGAGUGCGGAGGGCAGGGUGACCUGCUGAGCCCAUGGCUUUCUGUGCUAACCACAGGUGGUCAGGCAGAGCAGGCAUUUAAAAACUCAUCCAUCUCUUGUCUUACUGUCUUGGAAUUUACAUAAUUAAAAGUGAAUUGCUUGCUGUAUUUUAAUAUAUGCAGUGAAAAUGCAUGAAAAGCUGAAGAAUUACAGCAAUCCAGUAAUUCAUGUCAUGUUCCAUUCAGAAUUACAGCUUUCCAGCGCCAGCUCAAACACCGAGGAAUCCCUGCCACCAUAAAGCUAUAAUUGCUGAAUUAAUAACAGCGGGUUCUGGAGAGUGACUGCACAGACUCUCUGACCCAGGUAAUAGAAACACUCAUGUUAAAGUGAAGUUGAUACAUUUGACUUAAUCUAUGCAAUAUCAGUCUCCAGUAGUAAAGAUCACUGCUUUUCCAUCCCGUAAGAAAGCUGUGGUGAGGUGGUACCCUUCUGCUUUAGCUUGAGCUACCUGCAUCUGUUAGCCCCCGUGAACUAGAAAUUACAUUUUCAGGGAUCAGUCAGAUUGCAUUUCUUUCUACCAGGGGAUUUGUUACCCCAGUCUGUCUGCCUAGAACUGCUGGGAGGUGAGUUCCCAUCCAGCUGCAGAGGGGUGGGGAACAGGAUGUCGAGGGAGAUGGUGAAAGGCUUCUGCUAACACCUCAUUGCUCCAGAAUGUAUUAACAACUAAAAAAAUACAAUCCCUCCCCCUCUCUUCUAACUCAGGAAGAAAUUCUGCAGUUGGUGCUUUGCCAAAUUCUGUGCCUCGUGGCCCCCACAGAUAUGAUGCUCCUCAAAACUGGGAUAAAAGGAUGCUGUUUAAACAGGAUAAUAGGAAUUUAACCAAAAUGACUUGAUCUGAAUGAGGAGCCAUUUUUCUUUAUUUUUAUAGUUUAUUUUUAAAUAAGAAUGUCCCUAGGUAUUAGAAGGGCCUGGUAAUCCAUUUACCAUGACUUCCUUAGGUUUGGUCCUUGAAUGGACCAUAUGCUACUCUACGUUUAUCUGAGUAGGAUUUGUGAUUCUUGGUAACCUUUGUAGGCUGACUCAAGUCAUUAGGGACAAAUUGCCCAUGUCAACGGAUCUGAUUGUAUCAUGGAAUUGAUGUAGUGCACAGCUACUCAUGUUGCAAAGUGCAGCUGCAGCAAAAGCCAAAGCGUGUGACCACUGAGAUGUUGGACUUCUCUAAGCUCAGGGCAAUGUCCUGUGCUGGGGCUCUUAGCAGCAGCCUCCCCAAGGUUGUGUAUACAUUGUGGAUAAAAAGAAUUGGCAGUUUUCAGGGCUGGCAAUCUGGUUCUUUUUCUAAGAGUUAUCAUCAUUAAUUAAAAUCUCUCUCUUUUUUUUUUUUGUCUGUCUAAGUAUUUCAGCUCUAAUUCUCUUGCAGGUUCAUAAAUAGUAACAUCCCUUUGUCCUGGGAAAAGUUCUUAUCUUUUGUUUCUCUUUGUCAUUCCCCUCAAUCUCUGUCCUCUUGAGGCUGAAGGUAAGUAAAAUUCCUGCUAUGAUGUUGUGGUUGUGGGCCUGUUCCUUUGUUCCUUCGGUCACCCCGUCACCCCAUCCCUGCUUUGGUAUCCACAGUCCUACCUGGAACAGCAUAACGAUGACCCACAUGGUUCUGUUUCACUUGGCCUGUGCUCUUCCCCUCUGUGCAUAGUUUCCCUUUGGACUUCCUUAGCAGAUCCUCUGCAGCAAGCAGGUGUUUCUCCACUUUUCCAGUCUGUGAACUUGAAGUUAAAUUCAAAAAUAAUUCAUCAUUUUAUAAAUAAGUUAUAUAAGCUGUCACCACAAAUCUGUCACUGCACAGACAGGUGCCAACAUGCACCGUAUGCAAGACGGUAACAACACCAGGAUUGGAAUAAAGGAUGUCUAAAAGCAAUUACAUUUCCAGAUAUUAGGCAAACACAAUUAUUUAAACUGCUAGUCAAAACCAGUUGAUAAAAUAGAUAAUUAAAAAAGAUUGACCCAAAAGCUGAUGUUAAAUUAUUCUGUAAUGUGCACAUAACUCAAAUAAUUGCUCUCUCAUAACCCAGCCUCUAUUAAAGGGAAAUUUUACCUAGGAAAAAAAUUACAUAUUCAGUACACGGUGAUUAAAAUAAAUAUACAUUCUCUCAAAUGCUGGAGAUGAUGUGAGAAACUGUAUUAAAAAGUGGGAAUGCAUUCGGCCUGCAUUGCAAACAGUAGUGUGGUCUGUCAUUGUAAUAAAUCAUACUCAAUAGGCAUUGAAACAGAAAGUAUGACACUGCAGUAAAUCCAAAUCAGCCUCAGACCACAGUAGUGGUAGGUGACCUAUUGUGUGUGGGUAUAGAACUAAGCGGGACAGGAUGGAGUCCUGAGGAAGGAGCUAUUUUAGUAGUUCAAUUUAGACAUUAAAGUCUUGGGAUAGGACAUCAAAACCCCUAAUCUGGAGUUUGAAUCCAAUAUUUAAUACAGUUUACACCCACUUCAUCUAUGCAUGAGUUUCCACCUAAAACAAUAUCCAAGCUCCUUUUGACACCUAAUGAAGGGACAAAUCAGUUGUUCUUCAGACCUCAUUUUUUGUGCUGCUUACCUGGUGGUGAUGCAGGACUGACUUCAGUACUCGCACUGUCAAAAGCGGGAUCAGCCCAAUGUGCUUUAGCUGGGGGGGACACACAGGGAUGCUCUCCUUAGUGCAUCUGUCUGUAUGAAGCUGUCCUGUGCUCUCAUCUUUGAAACAGCAGACUUGAGAAACAUGAAGACUUCAUCUAUGAGCGCACAGCAUUACUCCAUAAAUGGUAUGGGAACUGAUUAACCCAUCAAUCUCUAUUAUUCAACUACUGCAAAUGAGACACGUGCUCCCUUGGGGAUUUACCUGGAGUAAAAUCAAGAAGAAAAUGCUUUCUCCCUUCCCAGCUUGAAAGUUCAAAAUUUGUUUGGACCGGUGAUGCUGCAAAUAAAUAAAAGAAAGAAUGACCUGAAUUACUUGAGCAAUCCCCUGGGACUGAGGCAGGAAGCGUUUGAAACAUGAAAAGUUGCACCCGUGUUCAAACGAGAGAGGCCCUAGUUAAUUAUUUACAGCAGCUGAAAGCUCAUCAAAAAUUUAACCAAGAUUUAUUUCUCUGUGACUCUGCAGGCACCACAAUAUGCAGCAGUGGAGGCUUCAGCUGCCUUCAGUGAAGCUCCUGAGUUUUCACCUCCCGGCUUGUCGGUGCUGGCUCAGUGCUUGCAGUGAAUCCUUUCCUCCUAUCUGUCAGCGAUGCACACUAGUAGGGUGGAUUCCAAUUGCAUGCAAAUAAAUAGCAUGCAGCAUCUGAACUGCUGCUGGGAGGCUCUGUGGUGGCCCUCAACAGCCUUCAGCUGUGGCAAGGCUGUGACCCGUCACUGUCAGUAGAUGAUAUCAAAUACAAACCUACCUGCGGCUUAGCUCUGCUCCUCUCCCAUCUACAGGUAAUGGGCCCUUCCAUUUUGUGCACGCUGACUGAGUGAAGGCUGGGCCGUUGCCCCUUUGCUUUGAAGUCCACUGCAUUUGUGAUUUUUCUUUGAUCAUCGCUGUGGAAAAGCCUGAUAUGUUUUUCUCAGCAGUUCGUAUGCACACAAGCAUGAGAGCUGAGAACCUCAGUCAAGGUUUGUCUGAUGUCCCGAGCGCUGCCCGGGUGUUCCAGCGGCACCAACAGAGGCUGACUGAUGGGCUCCAGUUCAGACAUACGAAGGGUGGCAAGCAGAGGCAGCGUUCUGAGACCGCAAGUCCCUCAGAACUGGAUGUCCUCAUCCCCAGGGCUGUCAGCCACACCGUGUCCUGUCCCUGCCGGCUGCACAGCAACAGUGGCGACACGGCUGCAUUGCUGGGGAGAUGGAAGCCCAACGUGUGUCAUCUCUGAGGCUGCUCGAGUUCCUCUUCAGCGCUUUGCAGGGGAAGACCAGAGAAAUAAUAAGGCUUUGUAUGAGUGAUAAGACUGUAUCGUGAUGGCUGUUCGCUUCCUAACAGAUGGGACAGAGAUGCAGGUAGGGUGGAGGGGCCACAAAGGCAACUGAUGGAGAAGUUUCUUUGGAGUCUGCUGUUCUUUUUUGCUUCAUUUAUAUUUCAUUAGGCAUGAAAUUACGUUUAUAAUUGUAUUAGACAACUGUGUGAGAUAUUAGAUCAUAAGCCUAGACUGAAUUAAAGCCAUUUUUAAUUAGUUAUUGAUUUAUUCUGUUUCGUCAUUUUUAAUGAAAUGAUGCCCCUGAAUUCAAAGCGCUGGUGCAGGUGUGUUAUCUUAAUUCAUAGAACUAGCACUCUGCUUACCUCCCAACCAACCAAGAGAAUGGAAGUGGCUGUUCUUCAGCACAGUUGUUGUAUCAGCCACUGAUGUGGGUCUGCACAAGGGGGGUGAAGGAAAGAGACACCGCACUCCAGAACAGACAAGAGGAGGGAGCCCUGGGCUGCAGGCACACUGCUGGGAGGAGACAGGGCUGAGCAAAACCCAGGGUAAGCUUUCAAAAAGAAAAAAAAAAAGAAAAAGAACAAGAAAGGGAAAGCAGGGGACAAUAUGCAGCUGUGGGAGCUGCGAGAUGCUGCGCUGCUGCUGGGACAGAGCAGAAGUCCAUUGCCCCGGGGAUGCUGCGCUGCAGCACCAAAAGCAGCGGCCACCGCACACUGCUGGGAUGCGGCUCAGCCCCAACAGCUGCAAGGACAGGGAGCAGCGCUGCAGCUCAGCGAAGCUGUGCUUUGUCUAUGCAUAGAAAUCAGAGCUAAGAGGUUUGGGGUUCUUUGUGGCUUUUUUCUGUUGUUGUUACCUGAAAUCCAUCAGGACCUCAGCUCCCUGUUAUACUUUUCUACUCCAUCCUGUGAUGUUAAUACAUACGCAGGGAUUCACUUGCACUUCAAAAGGACAUCUUCCCAUGGUGUAAGAGCCGCAGGAUGUUUCUCGAGGUGUUGCAGAGAUGGCUUUCACUUAGGAAAAAAAAACUAGAGGCUGCAUUCUGUAAGGCACUGCGGAGGCACGCGAGCACUUCCUCAGCUCACCUUCAAAAUACUUGCUUUUUUUAAUCACUUUCUGGCUCUCACACUCACUCUGCUAACGACUACGGAUCUCCAGCACUUUGAAACAAAGCUUUUCACCUUUCGGUACCUUCUCAGUCUGUGUGCCAACAGGCUCCUCGCUGGCAUUCAGCUCAGUCUCACACCCCAACAAAGAAAUAUUUGGAAACACGUUCGUUUUCACAUCCGAGCUCCCCAAAUGCCCAACAACUGACUCUUAUCCUUUCUCUUUUUUUUUGGCUUCUCCUUUCCUACUUCCUUUCCCCCCCAUAUGCAGCCGCCCACAUGGUUUCACUCACUGAAACAGCCCAUGGUGAAAUCAGACAAACACUUUGACUUUGCCCCCGGCCCCAGUGGUAGCCGUACCUCUGAAGCUGCCAUUCACCUCUAAUUACACGUCUGCUGAAAUCGUGCAGAGAAGGAACAGUGUAAGUCAUUAGUCCUCCUAAAUGAAUGUGCAGCUGAGUAGCUAACAAAGGGAUUAACACUUGACAGCAGAAGCGUUGCAAGCUGAAGGGGAGGGUCAUCGGGUGACUGCUUAUUACACAGAAAUAAUUGCCAUCCAAUGCUGAGAGAAACCGAUGGCUGCAGGCUGUGUUUACUGCAAAGAAAUGCAUUUUUUUCCCCUGUCUUUUCUUAUCCCUUCUGCUUAAUCUUCCUUUGCACAAAGCAGAGAGGAGACCCAUUGCUGGGCAGUGCAGGGCUGGAUUCCAUCCCACGCAGGAUGCCCAGGUGGGCAAGGUUUGGGUCUGGCUUUUUUUUCUUUUUUUCUUCUUCCUUCAAAGGACACAAGGUGGAAAAAAAACCCUUUUUAGUAUUUUUAGGAAAGAAAGCUACAAUUUCAGAGCAAGUUGGCUGAACUGUAAAACUUACCUGGGCUACAUAUAGAUGUACUUAGACACUCCCAGCCCAAUUGAAAGGCAGUGCAUUUUAGUACAAGCGUUUUACGCUACCAAAUGAUAGCUGAGAUGUAAAUACCACAGAGAUGCAUGAAAAGCACAGCAGCACUGGGGUGGUAUGGUACAAUGUGAAAAGGAUGUUUACAUCCAAACAUGACACGCACAGUUGAGCAUGAAUUCACAUUAGCUCAGCUUGCGCUUCAAACAUCUAUUUAUUAACACUGGGUGGAAACAACUAUUUUUCAGUAGCAGAGUUCAAGUAUCACAAAGGGUUUUUAAUGACUUCUAUAAAGCUUAGCACAGCUAUUAUUCCAAAGGCUUACCAUCUGAGCAGAGGUGAUGCUUAGGCUUUUCUAUGAUUUACCUCUUCUCCGGCAUUCUUUCUUUCUGGGUCUUCAGUGACAUGUCAGUUUUCCCUUGACGUGCCCUGCAGAGAGUUGCAAUGAGUGAAGCUGAAAACACAAACCACGUUUUUCCUCCUGACGUGUCACUAUUUCACUACUGUGCUGCAGCCCAAUGAGCCCAUGCACGACUGCAGCAUCCUGGGCGCACACAGCCAUGCACCGAGAGCUCCUUCCACCCAGCACAGUGGGACUCAUGCAUGCCACAGCUGCUCAUGAGCAGAGGCUGGAAGGAAGGCCACAGAAGAUGUGAAUAUGGGAAUAAAAGGAAAUUUAUGCAUGAGCCGAUGCGCAUCCCGCGGAGCAUUUUCCAUUCGUUGUGGGGUACUGCUUCCUCUUGUCUGAUUAAGUGACAUCUGGUUAGUGUAUCUGCCUGACUAUUUAGUUCUCUGCAUCACUCCGAGCACUGUAAUCUCUCUAAUUGGUGUAAAGAAUUUUUUCCCAAUAAGGCUAGAACGAAGCAGCUUCUCUGUCUAUGCUCCUUCAUGGUUGAUUUUGCUAUCAGCUUCAGAAAUCAUGCAGAAGGAGUUUGACUUUUUCCAUUCAUUCAGGAAUUACUACGUUUGCAGCCAUAGAAACAGUACUUAGGUCUAAAUACAAAGGAAAUAUAAUGCCCCGAUUAAUUUUCUGCAUCACUGAAAUGGAGCUUCUGUCAAAUGGGGGAGGCAGACGUUGCUGAUGCUGAGGAGCCAUCCCAGAACCAAGCCUGCAGCACUGCUUGGGAACAAAAGGUAAGAAGAGAUGGUCAAUGAGAUGAAAAUGCUGAUUGUAAGAUGUUUUUGGAUGAGAUAAGCAAACUGCCUUGUAAUCUCAAAUUCUCAAGUUUUCUUGCUGUGUUUUCACACUACCCUGAGCCUGUUGUUAUGUCUGAAAACAGCCCUUGGUCUAUUUUUAUGCUUCAGGCAACAUUAGUUCAGAUGAAAACACUCUUCCUUGCUCUGAUUUGUUAAAGCCUUAAGGUUUAUUUCCUGAUGAUGAGAAAGCAAUCCCAGCCUUCUCAAAAGCGCACAUUUUCUGUAACACAAACACUCCUGAGCUAUUUGGCCCAACGUGGUGUUUAGAUGUGAGCUGGCAGUCGGCCGCCCAGAGGUGCCCACAUCCUUCUGAGCUGCACCAACACAUCCAUCCCAUGGCUGGAAGAGUGCUGGGUCAGGAAUGUGCUCCCAGCAGACAGCCUUGGAAAGAGCAAUAAGGCAAACCUGCCAGAGAUAAAUAGCUGAUUUGUCUAUAAGCAGCUGUCUUAAAGCAAGGAUACUACCGAUAAUAUUGAUAUUUCUCAACAGCUUGUAGCUGCAGAGUUAGAAUUGCUUGUACUCUGACUGCUUGAAAUUCCUCUGGUGGUUUUUAUCGCAGGAUGUCUAAAUAGUUUAGCAAGAUUCAUUAACACUACGACAGCCCCAGUGCUGACUGAGAGCUUCCAACGGCCACCUGACAGAGCAGCCAUCCCGAAACGUGUCGAGUCAGUGAGAAAAGGACAGGAAGGGUUGAGGCAUCCCUAAUUCCGGGAGGGCAGCAGGCAUUAGAAAUAAGGAAAACAUUUUUCAUUUUGAUAAGGAAUAAGUAGAUAACAAGGUGAAUGUGGAGAGCUUCAAAGUGAGGUGGUCCUUGUUGUCUGAACACGCAAAAAGCUUGCAGAGGUACUUCUGAAAUACUGUCCCGGUCACCAAAGGGGGAAGGAAAGUGCCUGGGUCCACAUGAAGCAAAGGUUUAAAUUAGAGACUGGAAAAGCUUCCUAAUGAAGGAUACUUAAUCAGAGAACCUGGCUGCUAAGGAAGCUGUAAAAUAUAAGUUCUAAAGGACCAAUUAGACUAACACCUGUCUGAAAGGAGCACAGCAGGAUUCUGCCUCCUUGCAGCGAAAAUGGACUUGAAGCCACUGUCAUACUGCUGCACUAUUGCUUAUCCCCCCAGGCCCCACUCACAUUCCAAAGUCUCAUUUUUGCUAUGAACAUAUAUCCCCACACUGUAAGCAGGUCCCCCAAGCUCAGCUGCUUCCAGCCUGUCUUGCUUGGAUAGCAGUAGCCUGUCUGGAAAAAUAAUAAUCAUACAUCUACAUCUUGUCAGAUCCAAGUCUUCUUAUAACCAAGGAACGAGGAUUAAAAGUUAGCUUCAUUCUUCUGAGUAGAGCAUCCUUCCCUAGGGAAAAAGGUGCGUUCUGACUUGUGAGCUGGUACUGCAUCUGAGCUCACUCAGGGAAGUCUCUCUCCUAUAAUCCUCAUAUUUCAGAGGGGUUUGAGGAUGAAGAUCCUUGAGGAGAGGGAGGGGUUAUUGCCCUGCAGCUCUCAGUGAUGUACGGAGGUACCUUGGGAGUGGUUUCCUGGUGCGCUGCAUGAGCAAUGUGGACGUGCAGUUCACAGUUCUGGGUUCCCAUCCAAAAGCCAGGAUUCUUCAUGCCACACUCAGCGCUGCUUCCCAGGCCUCCAAAUCCUUGACUGCAUUCUUAGUCAGGAGUUACAAGAACGAUAACCAGCACUGUAAGUCAGCAGUACCCCCUUCAAUAAGAUAAAGCAGCUGUGUUGGCUCUGGAGUAGCUUAACUUUAGACUUCUGAGUAUGAUGAAUUAUUGUUUAAGGAGAUGCAUUCAUAAUUCUGUUCCUCCCAAGCAGGUGGUUGAUAUUUUGAGAUCCCUGCUGUAUCAGCACUGUGUAUAUUUGGCAUAGAAACUGCAUGAAUAUUACAAAUUCUAUAUUUAAUUGAGUCUCAUAAUGAAACCCUGUAAAUCAUAGUCAGCCCAUCAAACUAAACAGGAAAUUGAUGUGUUGAGGUGUUAAAUAAUGUUAUUUCUUUCCACCCCUACAGGUUAGACAAAACUUGAUCGUUU
ensembl:lncRNA